rnacentral:rRNA from 1 species
CCUACGGGAGGCAGCAGUGAGGAAUAUUGGUCAAUGGACGAGAGUCUGAACCAGCCAAGUAGCGUGAAGGAUGACUGCCCUAUGGGUUGUAAACUUCUUUUAUAUGGGAAUAAAGUGUUCCACGUGUGGGAUUUUGUAUGUACCAUAUGAAUAAGGAACGGCGAAAUCCGGGCCAGCAGCCGCGGUAAUACGGGGGAUCCGAGGGUUAUCCGGAUUUAUUGGGUUUAAAGGGAGCGUAGGUGGAUUGUUAAGUCAGUUGGGAAAGUGUGCGGCGCAACCGUAAAAUGGCAGUUGAAACUGGCAGUCUUGAGUAGAGUAGAGGUGGGCGGAAUUCGUGGUGUAGCGGUGAAAUGCGUAGAUAUCACGAAGAACUCCGAUUGCGAAGGCAGCUCACUGGACUGCAACUGACACUGAGGCUCGAAAGUGUGGGGAUCAAACAGGAUUAGAUACCCUGGUAGUC